GGGGCACCCCUGGCAACAGGGUCCAAUCUGGUGGAGUAGUAUGCUAUUGUUUUUUGUUUACUACCAUGGUCCUGUGUAAGGACAGAUGUCGCAUAACCCGAUUGUUCUGUACAGAACAGUAUAAAAGGCUUUCUGUAAUCUGGAAGACCCAGUGCCGGAGCUGAGAUGACAGGCAACUUUUGGGUGUAAAAAGCAUUUUACACAAUAAGAUAUACUGCAAUAAGAUUAC